rnacentral:rRNA from 1 species
AUUCCAGCUCCAAUAGUAUAUAUUAGUGUUGUUGCAGUUAAAGCGCUCGUAGUUGGAUUUUGGAAUUGUUUAUUCGGUCCGCCGAAAGGUGUGCACUGAUUGGAUUGUUCUUCCUUCUGAAAAACUUGUGUGAUCUUUAUCGGUUGUGCAAGCAAUUCAGGACAUUUACUUUGAAAAAAUUAGAGUGUUCAAAGCAGGCCUUCGCUUGAAUACAUUAGCAUGGAAUAAUAAAAUAGGACUUUGGUUCUAUUUUGUUGGUUUUCGGAACUGAAGUAAUGAUUAAUAGGGAUAGUUGGGACCAUUAGUAUUUCUUCGUCAGAGGUGAAAUUCUUGGAUUGAAGAAAGACUAACUUCUGCGAAAGCAUCUGGCAAGGAUGUUUUCAUCA